rnacentral:rRNA from 1 species
GAGUUUGAUCCUGGCUCAGAACGAACGCUGGCGGCAUGCCCAACACAUGCAAGUCGAACGAGACCUUCGGGUCUAGUGGCGCACGGGUGCGUAACGCGUGGGAAUCUGCCCAAAGGUUCGGAAUAACUCAGGGAAACUUGAGCUAAUACCGGAUGAUGUCGCAAGACCAAAGAUUUAUCGCCUUUGGAUGAGCCCGCGUAGGAUUAGCUUGUUGGUGAGGUAAAGGCUCACCAAGGCGACGAUCCUUAGCUGGUCUGAGAGGAUGAUCAGCCACACUGGGACUGAGACACGGCCCAGACUCCUACGGGAGGCAGCAGUGGGGAAUAUUGGACAAUGGGCGAAAGCCUGAUCCAGCAAUGCCGCGUGAGUGAUGAAGGCCCUAGGGUUGUAAAGCUCUUUUACCCGGGAAGAUAAUGACUGUACCGGGAGAAUAAGCCCCGGCUAACUCCGUGCCAGCCGCCGCCGUAAC